CUAGCCCUUCUCUUCUUCUCCUCACUCCAACCCAAGCCAAAAAUCAUUUUCAAAACUUUGACUUUGUUUCAAUUAGAAACCUAGGCCUCAUGCCUUUGACUUUUCAAAACCAUUUUUAUUAAUACUCAUUAUGAAUAAAUCUUAAUCCAACUUUGACUUCAUUUUUGUAAAUAAAUUAACUUGUAAAUAUAACUCACUUCAAGUUGUUUUGUGGUUCCAAUAGCCACCUUAUUAAAACCUUUUCAUAAACAUUAGUCAUAGGUUUGAGUUAUCAUAGUGGUUGAUGUAAAUAUCACCUCAUCCUUAGUGAUUGGAUUAUAAGUCUUCCAUACUUAUUAUAGGGUUAACCUCUCACUAGUAUGUUGAAGCCUUCCUCACAUGGUGGAUUGUUGGUUUAGGUUGAGUUUUCUCCCUUUUGAUAACAAAAGACCUUAAGGCUUUUGAUCAAAUCAAUUCACCAAUCUUUGAGAUUUUUACCCCGAACUACGAGGUUUUGAUCCUCCUUUGUGAUGGUACGUAGGCAAUGGGUUCAUCCAUUACACCAAUCUUUGAGAUUUUUACCCCGAACUACGAGGUUUUGAUCCUCCUUUGUGAUGGUACGUAGGCAAUGGGUUCAUCCAUUCAAACAACAAAAUUUGUAAAUAUAAUCUAUUCUCUUCUCAUCCUCCCAAUCUUUUGUACAUAUAUUUUCACAAAUACCAACCUAUAACACAUAUUCGCAAAAAGGGUUCCCUUAGAGUACUAAGGAUAUUUUGGUUGCGUAAAACCUUCCCAUUUCAUAACCAACCCCCUUACCUAGAUCUCUGACAUUUUUAUUAGUUUUUGAUUUGAAAAAACUUCUUACCUUGGCUUUUGUUCGCUUUUUAGCCUUUCCUUUGGACAAAUAAAAGUGUGGUGGCGACUCAAGUUGUAUGUUUACUUUUGGUUUAAUUAAUAAACCUAAAGGUAACGAAAACCCUGCUACAAUAUCAAGGGGAUGGGUAUAGCUAUUAAUGACCAUAUGCCAUAAGUAUGAAUCAUAACCAAGGAAGAAACUUUCAAUUCUAUCCUUCCAAUAAUCAGACUUAUCUCUAUAAAAACUAGAGGUUUAGCAUAUUAGUGAUCUUUAUCAUUAUUCAAAGCUGCCAUAAUGUGUUUCAACAAAACUGGAUCUUUUACUGACACAGUAAAAUGUUUGAUAUAAAAUGAUCAAUAACAAAACCAGAGCUCUGAUUCCAAUUGAAGGUUCAAGAAACACAAGAAAAAGGGGUUUGAAUUAGAUUUCUAGAUAAAAAACUUUUUCUCAACCCAAAGACACAAACAACAAAUGAACAACAAAAAGAAAGAACACAAAUAUUUUUAUCCUAGUUCGUUGUUAACGAAGUUACGUCCAGUCCACCCGUCUGAGUGAUUUGUCCUUCAACAAGGACUUAAUCCACUAAUCAAAGAAUUUAUUACAACCUCAAUGACAAACUAUCAAAGACCAUUUGAGAAUUUUGACUAUACCCUAGUCUCUCAAUGAAUUUAACCAAAGGUUAAUAAUAAAGAUUUAUAUUUACAAGAUGCUUCUAAAAGAGCAGAUACACAAGUUAAAAUCAAAUAAUACACUUAAGAAAAAAUAUUCAAAGAAGAUGUUCUUGGUGUAUGAGUGUGAGUAACACUUCUUUUCUUUUUCUUUUUCACGUAUGAUUUUUGUGUGUAUGUGUUGUUAUGCAAAUCAAUAGUUUUCCAAUCUUCCAAUACCUCUUUAUAUAUGUGAAAUAAAUUUAUUGGAGGGUGAAAUUGGAAUAUCCUUAAAUAUCUUAGUUCUAAGUAGGUAACUUGUUUCUACAACAAUAGAGUGGCACUUGCAGAAGAUAGUGGGUGAGGAUGAGACGUCAGGAAUGACAUUGAUAGAAUAGUACACUCUUAUUCCUGAUCUUCAGGGUAGUGGAAAGGAUAUUUUCUUUUUGUACUGAUUAUACCUUCCAAGUGUUCGUUUACUUUAGAUCAAUAAAUUUUAGUCAGAGGCUUCACAUUAAAGUUGAUGAAGCUUUAGUAGAGUUUAGAGCCAAUCUAUAGAAGCUGGUGACAAUGAGACUUUAGAGUCUUUGGAGUUCAGUCUUCGGAGAUUUCAUAGGCUUGAAUUAUCAUAAUCUUUAUCAGAGUCAUUUUGGAUGGUUUCUUUGCAUAAGCGUUUGACUUGGUAAUCCAUAAGCUUGACUUUCAUGUAAACACGCUUUUUAUAGUUCAUUUGGUUCAUAAUGUGUCUUUAGUUCAUAGUCUGGCUUGCUCAGAAUUGACUUCUUCAGAGUCAUAAUCUGUUUUCUAUAGUUUGCACACUUAACAAAAAUAGUUAGAGUAUAAAAGUGUUCUCUACACAUAUUAAGCUUUGUUAUCAUCAAAACUAAAGAAUAAUUGCAAAACUAAACUUGUUCCGACAACAUUGAUUUCCAUAGUUGUUCCUUCCCCUCGAUCCCUCUAGAGCGCAUGAUCUAUCUUUUUUGCUGCUUCAAGGUCGACACACAAGACAUAUGGUUCUCCAUGUAGGUUUGAUUUUUGAGCUUUAAGUCCACGGGUGAGGCUACGACACCCAAUGUGGAAAAGAAGGUCCUACCCAAGAUGCAAUUAUAAAGGGUCUUGCACGGGAUGACCAAUAAUUGAGUGUUGAUGGAUUGGAGGUCUAUUCUCUAUCCUAUAAAUACCAUGAAAUUCAUAUAUCCUCAAGGAUGAGUGGUCAUUCCAAUGAACACUUGUAGAUCUGAACCAUCAUAUGGUAUUAAGCUCCCUUUGUCUUAACCCGUUUUUUUCAAAUAGAUAUGAGUAAAGGAUAUUAUCACAUGAACUUCCCCCAUGAAUUAAAAUUCACGAGAAGUUGAACUAUCAUAUGAUAGCCAUGAUUACCAUGGUAAACAAUUCAUUAGAGAUGCCAUCAACCUUAUCAGGCUGUCAGAAUCCCAACAUAGGUCGGUCGGGGACCUUCGAUGAUGAACUAUCUUUGUUUAUAUAGACAUCCAUCAUUUUGGAGAUUUUCCUUUUGACUGUCCCUUGGAAUGGAGGUUCAUCCAUGUCGAUGAUGGCAACAAUAUACAUGUGUUUGCCUUUGUCAAUUUCCCUUCUUUUGUUGUUGGGUCCGGCUUCGGAGGUCUUUGUAAAGGACUUGGUUUUUGGAGAUUCCUCUCGCUCUCAUUUUCCCUCCUUGACAUAUUCGGACAACCAUCCUUUUUUUAUCAGUGCUUCAAUCGUUUCUUUAAGUUUGAUGCAAUCAUCUCUAUUAUGAUCGUGUCCUUCGUGGAAGCAACAAUACUUUGAUUUAUCCAUCCAAGCUGACUCCCUGAUAGGGUAAGGAGAUUAAAUCUCGACUUUCCUGAACUUAGUGUUAUAACAUUCUUGGUAAAAAAAUUCCCAGUAAGUGUUUAAAGGCGUGUAUUUAUUGCAUCUAUUGUAUGCCUUCCUAGAAAUGUUCUUUUUUUCCUACAGGAUUCCUUCCCUGGAGUACGGUCAAAACUUGCUUUGGCAACUGAGGUUGGGUUGUUGAAGCAAGUAUUUAGCUUCUCUUCCAACAUGAUGUAAGUUUGGGCCAGGUUAAGCAUCUCCUAAGUCAUUAUUACCUUCUUGUUUCCUAGAUUGGUGUGGAAAGGAUGGUCGCCGAGGAGGCCAUUUUUGAAGAUCUAGCACUGUAGGGAUUCUUCGCCUCCCUUUACCUCUAGCGCAUCCUGAGUGAAUCGAUCGAUGUAGGACUGUAUGAUUUCAUUCUCUCCUUACAUGAGUCUACUCACGACUGCUAUAGUAUUUGGUUGCCUCUUCCGGGCGGUGAGGCGAUCACAAAAAUUCGCCCAUGAUUCGAUAAAACCAUUGAAGAUACCAUUAAACCAUAAUCUAGAUGGUAUGACCAAGGUUAACACUAACAUCUUGCACUUGGAAGUGUCAUCAGCAUUGUAUUAAUUGAGUCAGUCAUUGACAAGUUAGAUGUGUUCGUCGGGGUCUUCCUUUCCAUUGUACUCUUCCAAUUUGGGAGGUUUUUGCAUUGACUUGGGGAUCUUUCUUUCUAAGAUCUGGGCAUAUAAGGGAUCUUUAGACUCACCUUGAUCAACUAGUGUUCGUCACAUAAGGGAUUAUAUAUCAUAUAGGUUAAACUAUGCUUAUAAUGAUUUAAUGUAUAAGCUUAGGUCGUUGGUGUAUUAAAUCUUAAGGAAUCAUCAUGAAGUCAAUUAUGCAUUAUUAAGAACAUCCAAGUAAUUUGUUUUUAAAUUGCCUUGUUUAAAGCGACUUUGGUUGUCAUGUAAAUGAUUUGCACUAGAAGUGAUCUAUCUCAUGGUUACUUCAUGUAUCAUUUCAUGUGGCUUGAUUCAUUGAGAUGCUUCCAAGUUCUCGUUUUAAUGUAUUGCUUACACUCCUUUUUUUUUUAAAUCUCUGAUUUCGUUAUUGUUAGUUCUAAGAGUUGACAGUAAUUUUGGUAAAACAAAGAGUGUUCACAAGAUGUUGCAUGUGAUGUCUUAACAUAAGAUACCCUUGUACCUGCUAGAGGUUUAAAAACAUAAUUAUGCAGGAUUGUUUCAGGAUGUCAUACACGAUGUCAUGACAUCUAAUAUUAUGUAUCUGCUGAAUAUUUAAAAUGGAAUUAUGCAGGAUUGUUCCAGGAUGUCAGACCCGAUGUCAUGACAUCUGUACACAUAACAUUCAGUGUGAAUGUUAUGUGUUAUGUGAUUGCGCUUUUAAUGGCAAUCUAUGUAUGAUUGAAGAUCUAAUUUGCAAACGCAUUCAAUCAUUAAUUACAACGUGAUUUAACUUAUUUUCCAAAAAGAUCUAACCAGCUGUCGUAAGAAGAUUUGAUUGGAAGAUAGUUUUAGGGUUUUAUGAUGUCCAAGCCCAGCUGAAUGCUUCUAUAAAAAAGGACAUGGAAAACCUGAUUUGAUACACAAGAAAUACUGAGCGAAAUAUUGAGAGAGAAUAAGGGUUUGUGUCUUGUGUGGUCGUGUGACUUGUAAGCCAUUCAAUUCAUCCAUAGAAUGAUUGAAUUAGUUUGAUUUUUGAGUUGUAAUUUGUCACUCAACGCUUUUAAGCAUGAGUGGUGGUCUACUUGAUUGAAGCUGCUAAGUAAGAUCAAGUGUGUGUCUACUUGAUUGAAGUUGCUAAGUAAAAUCAAGUGUGUGUGCUUUGAAGAGUGUCUUCUUUCAAAGGAAUUAUUGUUUAAUAAUCACUGGUGUGAGGAGGGGGAGUGAGUGGGAUCGCUCAUAUCUAAGAGUUCUUAGGUAGAAGUCAUACGGGUAGAGAUUAGGUAAAAAGACUGUAACUUGUGGAGUUUUAUCUAAAGUCGACACUGAUUCUAAUUUAGUGAAUUCCCUCCUGACUUGGUAGCCCCCAGACGUAGGUGAGAUUGCACCGAACUGGGUUAACAAUUGCUUGUGUCUUUGCUUAACUAUGUAUUCUAUCUUCUAUCUGUUUGUAUAUUCAGAUAUUAGUGUCGUGACAUUACCUCGACAUCUCAUAUCUGAUACCAGAAUUUCAAUGGUAUCAGAGCAGGCAUCCUGCUCUGGUUCUGGGUGAGAUCUUAGGGACAAUACUUUCUGGUAACUAUGGAAGAGAUGAGAUCGUAUGCACAGGGACGACCAUUUUUGGAUGGAUGCUAAACUAUGACUGAUUGGGAAACCUCGAAUGUAAGCUUUCCUAAAAUCUCUUGAUAUAAAGGCUUGGAAAGGUGGGUUUAACAGCUGGGAACCUCCAGUAAUUAUUAAGAGGAGAAAGCCAUCAACUGAUAAGAAGCUUGCAAGACAAUGGUCCAAGGAGGAGGAUGUAUCUAGACUUGUUAAUUCUAAGCAUUGAAUGCCAGAUAUUCAAUGGAGUAGACACGAAUAUCUUCAGAGUUGCGUAAAGCAACUGUGAGGUGGCUAAAGAUGCUUGGGACAUUCUCAAAACCACUCAUGAAGGCACCUCUAGAGUGAAGAUGUCUAGACUACAGCUGCUCACCACCAAGUUUGAAAAUUUAAGGAUGCUAGAAGAUGAAAAUAUUCAUGAAUUCCAUAUGAGUAUCCUUGAAAUUGCUAAUGCCUCAGGAGCCCUGGGAGAGAAGAUGUCAGAUGAAAAAUUAGUAAGAAAAAUACUCAGGUCACUCCCUAAGAGAUUUGCUAUAAAGGUGACAAACAUAGAAGAGUCUCGAGACAUCUCCAAUAUGAGAGUUGAUGAGCUAAUUGGUUCCCUCCAAACAUUUGAGAUGGGAAUGUGUGAUGGAUAUGAAAAGAAAACCAAAAGCAUAGCCUUCAUGUCAAACACAGAGGAGGAAAGUAGUCAGGAGGUUGAUGAAGAUCUGGCAAAUGAUGUAGCAAGGCUGGGAAGGCAGUUCAACAGACUGUUGAAAAAGAUGGAUGUAAGUUCUAAGGCUAAUGUCAAGAACAUUUCAUCUGACAUCAGUAAAUCCAAUAAUGCUGGAAGAAGAACAAGGCCAGAUGAUAAGCCCAAAGAAGGAAAAGGAGUACAGUGCCAUGAAUGUGAUAGGUAUGGACACAUUAGAACUGAAUGUGGAACCUACCUCAAGAAACAGAAGAUGAGUCUUGAUGCCACUUGGUCUGAUGAGAGUGAAACAAAAGAGUCUGCAAAUCUGGUGACUGCCUUGACAGGAAGAUGGGAUUCUGAUGAAGACUCAAGUGAUGAUGAAGUAACCUUUGAAGAGUUGUCCACUACCUAUAGAAAGUUGUGUCACAAAAAUGCAGAGGUGUGUAAAUAGGUUGAAAGCCAGAAGAAGGUAAUAACUCAACUUGAGAAUGAGAAGGCAGAACAUGUGGAAACCAUCUCCAAGUUAAAAACUGAAGCUGUGUUCUUGAAUUCUAAACUGGAAGAGAUGACCAAGUAUGUAAGAAUGUUAAACAAUGGAUCUGACUCCUUAGACAAGAUUCUCCAGACUGGACAAAUAACAUGAGACAAAUCGGGUAUUGGGUUUAAUGAAUCUAAGCCUGAGUGCAGUUACACUGGUGGCAAACCUAAAUCCAAACUUAAGUGCAGCCAUAUUAAAAGCAAACCUGAGAUGUCACAUCAUAUGUCACAACAUCAAAAAGGAAGACAACAGAAAGGGAAACACCAAAGAUGGAGAUGCCAUUACUGUGGAAGAUUUGGCCACCUGAAGCCCUUCUGCUAUAAGCUGUAUGGUUAUCCUAGCCAUGUUCAUCAUCAGACUCACUAUCAAACUAGACCCAAACAUCACAGGCCUGUCAACAAAAAGCAAUGGGUUCCCAAGACUAAUGUUGCAAGUUUAAUAGCUCACACUUCCUUUAGAGUUUCAGCCAAAGAAGAUUGGUAUUUUGACAGUGGUUUUCUCCAGACACAUGACUGGAAACAAAAACCUACUAACUGGCCUUCAUCCUCAUGCCAUAAGUUAUGUAACCUUUGGUGAUGGAGCAAAGGGUAAAACCAAGGGGAUUGGUAAGCUUGAUUACCCUAGAGUUCCUGACCUUGACAAUGUCUUACUGGUUAAGGGAUUAACUGCUAAUCUAAUAAGCACCAGUCAACUGUGUGACCAAGGUCUAAAUGUUAACUUCACUAAAACUGAAUGUCUGAUUACUAACAAAGAAAGUGAAGUGAUCAUGAAAGGAGUCAGGACCAAAGACAAUUGUUACAUGUGGAGUUCUCAAAUUGGUUAAACUGAAUGUCUGAUUACUAACAAAGAAAGUGAAGUGAUCAUGAAAGGAGUCAGGACCAAAGACAAUUGUUACAUGUGGAGUUCUCAAAUUGGUUAUUCUUCAAAGGGUACCUUAGUCAAAGAAGAAGGAGUAAAGACAUGGCAUCAAAGAAUGAGCCAUCUGCAUCUUAAAGGUAUGAAGAUGAUUAUAGCUGCUGAAGUUAUUAGAGGAACUCCCAAAUUGAAGAUUAAUGAAAGAAAAGUCUGUGGGAAAUGUCAGACAAGGAUGUCACACCAGAAACUCAGACAUGACAUCACUUCCAAGGGUUUGAAACUUCUCCAUAUGAAUUUGAUGGGACCCAUGCAGGUGGAAAGCCUUGGUGGAAAGAAGUAUGCAGUGGUGGAUGACUUCUCCAGAUACACCUGGACCAAAAAUAAACCUGAUGUGGUUGAAAUCUUCAAAGAUUUUUGUCUGAAACCUCAAGGAGAAAAGCUCAUGGUGGCUCAAACAGAUGUGGAUAAUAUUGGGUUUGGUAGGAAGUCAGAUUAGAUGGUAGAACAUGUUGCUAGUCAAAAGCAGUCUGAAGUUGGGAAGAGCUUUGUUGGACUUGGGCUACAAGUCAAGCAGAUAGAAGAGUCUAUUUGUCUAUCUCAAAGCAAAUGUGCCAAGAACAAUGUUAAGAAGAUUGGCAUGGAGAGUGCAAGGACUCCUUCUCCUACACAUUCGGAAGUAUUCAAAGAUGAAAAUGGUGUUUGUGCUAUAUAUCAAGCUGAAUACAUAGCAGCUGGAAGUAGCUGUUCUCAACAAGGUCAGUUGAAACUAAUGUUGACUGAAUAUAAUCUCACACACGAUGUCAUGAUAUUGUACUAUGAAAACCUGAGUGCUAUAACUAUUUCCAAAAAUCCUAUUCAGCACAGCAGGACUAAGCACAUUGAUAUUUGUCAUCACUUCAUUAGAGAAUUUGUGGAAGAAAAAAUCAUAGCACUAAAGCAUGAAUGCAAUUAGCUGACAAAUUUGCAAGGGCUCUGAAUGUUAAUCAGUUUAAAUAUUUAAGAGGGAAAUUGGGGAUUGUUAUUCAUGAGAAGUUAUAGCAAUUAAAGUGGAGUGGAAAAGGUAAUAAAAAUAUUGUCUGUCCACUAAAAGGAAAGUGCCACAUUUAUGGUAAAUCAUUACCUAGUAUUGGAACUAGUAUCUAUGUCAUUUCCACACGCUACCUCAACACAACCAUUUCCAUCUUCAUCCAACUUCUCAGACAACCUCUGUUAGGGCAAAAAGAUUUCUUUCAAAAGUCCAACAAAAUGUCAUAACAUCCCUCAUCCUCAGGAUCAAAACCCACUCACAAGGCCAGGACUCCCUCCAUGGAGUUUCUAGAUGAAGAUAUUUUGGAGGUCAUUCCCCUCUCUGUUAUUCCAGGCGACGCCCCUGGCCCUUCUUUCACGACUGGAAAUAAUCAAGGUAACAUUCCUGAUAACCCUCCUCCUAAGGAUGACAUGCACUAUACAGAUCGUGUCAUUAGGAACCCGGUAACUAGGAUUCUUAAUGAAGGUCAUGCAGUCAAGGGUGUUUCAACCCCUCUGUCUAGAAGGUACCCCUCUCUUGAGGUGGAACCUCAAACUAAGAAAGAUGAUGAUUCAUCUAGAUCAGAAAAAGACAUUGCUGCUGAGGGACUAUGCUCUCUAAGAAAAAACAUGUCUAGCAAAGAUCCUAUAGAUGUUUCUCAUUCUAAGAAGCCUAACACUGCUGAGAGAGUAAUUGAUUUGGAGGAAGAGAGUUCAGAAGAAGAAGAUGACACCUUGGUUCAUCAUUUGAAACCAAGUGUUGCAAGGAAAAUGAAGACCAGGAAAGGUAAGACUGUGGUUGAGAUGUUGACAGCCAGAACUAGGAAGAUGACUGCUGGUGUAGGACCCUUUAAAUCAUGGAGUAAAGUAGAGGUCAAGAAGAGGAAGAUCAGAGAAAGCUCUGAUUCUGAAGAUGAUGUCGAAGACGAUGUCCCAGACAUCUCUCCUGCUAAAAGGCAUACUGUUAAAAAGUCUCCAGCUAAGGUUGCAGCUGUACAUUUGGACAACAUUUCUUUCCAUCUGGAAGAUGGUGCUUCCAAGUGGAAGUUUGUUAUGCAAAAGAGAGUUGCUGUUGAGAGGGAGCUAGGGAAGGAGGCUGUAGAAGUGAAGGAAGUCAUGGAACUAAUCAAGAUUGCUGGUCUGAUGAAAACUGUUGUUGCUUUGCCCCAAUGUUUUGAAGGAUUAGUAAAAGAGUUUGUGGUUAAUAUCUCAGAGGAUAUUUCUGACAAGAGUAGCAAGGAAUUGUGCAAGGUCUUUGUGAGAGGUAGAUGUGUAAGGUUUUCCCUAACCAUAAUCAAUAAGUUCCUAGGGAGAGGAACUGAAGGAGGUGUGGGGUUAGAGGCUACGGACAAUGAAGUCUGUAGGCCUAUUACUGCUGGCCAAGUCAAGGAAUGGCCUAGCAAGAAGCAUCUUUCAGCUGGCAAAUUAAUUAUUAAAUAUGCCAUCUUGCAUAAGAUUGGUUCAGCCAACUGGGUGCCAAUAAACCAUAUCUCAACCAUCUCUAAUGGUCUUCGAAGAAUCAUCUAUGCUAUUGGAACCAGGCUCAACUUUGAUUUUGGAAGGUUCAUGUUUAAACAAAUUGUUAGACAUGCCUCCACUAAUGCAGUAAAGAUGCCUAUUGCCUUUCCAUCUAUCAUUUGUGGAAUUAUUUUAAGCUAGCAACCUGGCAUUCUCAACACAAGUGAUAUUCCCAGCAGAAGGAAGUCUCCACUGUCCAUUCACUACAAGUUAUUUGAAGGGAGCCAUGUCAAUGAUGUUGUCAUGACAUCUGCAAGGAAAGAGCCAGCCUCUCAAGGUGGCUUGAUUUCUCAAUUGAAGGAAACUUGUAAGGAGCUGGAUACUGGUAUUAGGGUUGCCAAGGCUAGGAAGGAGGCUUUAGAGGUUCUCAUUAGUAGCUUGGAGCAGGAAGAGAUGGAUAAGGUUAGUACAACCAAGGAGUCAGAUGCCCAUACCUCAAGUGAGAGGUCCAAUUCUCAAUCUAGUGGCUGUUCUGAAUCUGAAGGUGAAGAAGAUGCUACUUCCUCAGACUAAGCUGUGAUGGUCCCCCUGUUAUGAAGAUUGUGUGUGAUGUGUGCCGUUAUGAAGACGGGUCCCCCUGUUGGUUUGGCUGUUCUGGAUGCUGUUAUGGAUGUUUUGGAAGCUUGGAUGUUUUGUUGUGUUUCUGUUGAAAUGUUUGUAUUUUGUGGCAGUCCUUACUGAUGCCUUGAUGUAAUAUUUGGGCUCUUUAUGAGUUCCAUGGAUUUCUAAUUAUCUCAGCUAUUGCACCUGUGUAUAAUUAUGGUUUGUAUCUCUUAACAUUUAUGUUUUAACAUUUUAUAUGUUAUAAUAUCUCUUGUGACAUUCUCUGCUAGGGUGAUUGACAUUUAUUUUGUCUAAUUGGUCACCUUUGGUCUAUUUUGACUAAAAAGGGGGAGAAGUGAAUAUGUGGAGAGUUGCAGUUAAAUAUGUGGAGUUGUGUGGAGAUGUAUGUAUGUGCUGGUGUACAGCUAAUGUUGAAGGAGAUGUUUGAUGUAAGACAGAAUGUUGUUUUGUUUACAGAUGUUGGAGGAGAUGUCUGAUGUGGUGCACAGGUGAUGUUGAAGCAGAUGUCAGAGGGUGACUCUGAUUGUUAUAGGUGUUGUUAUUACAAAUGCUGUUAUUGUUAAAGGAGAUGUAUGUGUUGUACAAACUUAGGGGGAGAAGAAGUACCCUCAUGUGCAUUUGUGUGUUUUACUAGUUGCUAAUAUAGCUAGUAAUUCUGUUUGCUUCUGCUGCUUCUUAAACACUGUUAUGUUGUUUAACUACUAAUGUGUUUUUCUUGUGAACAAAAUGGACAGAUAUAUGUUUUAGUCAAAACUUUGCCAAAGGGGGAGUUUGUUGGUUCUAAGAGUUGGCAGUAAUUUUGGUAAAACAAAGAGUGUUCACAAGAUGUUGCGUGUGAUGUCUUAACAUAAGAUAUCCUUGUAUCUGCUGGAGGUUUAAAAACAUAAUUAUGCAGGAUUGUUUCAAGAUGUCAUACACGAUGUCAUGACAUCUGAUAUUAUGUACCUGCUGGAUAUUUAAAAUGGAAUUAUGCAGGAUUGUUCCAGGAUGUCAGACCCGAUGUCAUGACAUCUGUACACAGAACAUUCAGUGUGAAUGUUAUGCAGGAUUGUUCCAGGAUGUCAGACCCGAUGUCAUGACAUCUGUACACAGAACAUUCAGUGUGAAUGUUAUGUGUUAUGUGAUUGCGCUUUUAAUGGCAAUCUAUGUAUGAUUGAAGAUCUGAUUUGCAAACGCAUUCAAUCAUUAAUUACAACGUGAUUUAACUUAUUUUCCAAAGAGAUCUAACCAGCUGUCAUAAGAAGAUUUGAAUGGAAAAUAGUUUUAGGGUUUUAUGAUGUCCAAGCCCAGCCGAAUGAUUCUAUAAAAAGGGACAUGGAAAACCUGAUUUGAUACACAAGAAAUACUGAGCAAAAUAUUGAGAGAGAAUAAGGGUUUGUGUCUUGUGUGGUCGUGUGACUUGUAAGCCAUUCAAUUCAUCCAUAGAUGAUUGAAUUGGUUUGAUUUUUGAGUUGUAAUUUGUCACUCAAAGCUUUUAAGCAUGAGUUUGUGUCUACUUGAUUGAAGCUGCUAAGUAAGAUCAAGUGUGUGUCUACUUGAUUAAAGUUGCUAAGUAAAAUCAAGUGUGUAUCUUUGAAGAGUGUCUUCUUUUCAUAAGGAAUUAUUGUUUAAUAUCACUGGUGUGAUUGAUGGGGAGUGAGUGGGAUCUCAUAUCUAAGAGUUCUUAGGUAGAAGUCACACGGGUAGAGAUUAGGUGAAAAAGACUGUAACUUGUGGAGUUUACUGAGAGUCUUUGAACUGAUUCUAUUUAGUGGAUUUCCUUCCUGGCUUGGUAGCCUCCAGACGUAGGUGAGUUGCACCGAAUUGGGUUAACAAUUGCUUGUGUCUCUUGCUUUACUAUUCUUUAUCUUUAUCCUGUUUGUAUUAUUCAGAUAUUAGUGUCGUGACAUUACCUUCGACAUCUCAUAUCUGAUACCAAAAUUUCAGUUAUAUGGGACCUAAAAAGUUUUCAAAUUAUCUAAAAGGAUUUUGGGUCUAUUCAACCCCUCUUCUAGACAUUGUUGUUUCCAUAUUAUCACCAAAAACCUCAAGGUUAGCACUCCAACACUCAAGUCAGUAUGUGAAAGAGUAGAGAGUAUUCAAAUUGUGUUUGAAAUUUGUUACUUGAAAUUGAGUCAUUGCCUCUAUAUAGAAGGAAGAAUAACGACAUCGCUAUCUUUCAUACGUGGAAUAUGGAGGACUAUUAGAUGUGCCUGAGUCGUAGAUCCCCUACAAUGAGGUGAAAAAUAGUCUUGUGGUAAGGAGAAAUUUAUAUAACAAAACAGUAUGGUCAGUUGAUAUGUUAUAGCCCCAAGGUGGCCUAUCUUUAGAUGGUCGGUCCUAGUGAGAUGUGGUCAGCCCAAAACAUAAUCCAACAGAGUAAAAUCAAGUUCAUCUUCUAAGUGCUAAUCAAGAAAAAUCUAGCUACUCAUAUCGAUACAAAUAAUUACCAUGAGUUUAGAUGAAAACUACAUAAACAUCAAUGAAGAAUAUGGUCUCCAAUGCCUCCAAAACUCUAAAAAAACAUUGUUGUAGAACUCCUUGCCGCCACUUUCUAUGCAGAAAUCAAGAACCCUUUGAAAAAUGGCCUCCUUUUCUAUUUAAACAGCAAAAAACAUGUAUGACAAGUGAGCCAUUGCAGCAACUAUCAACAGCUUCGCGGUCGUGAUAACUCUUUAUUGCAACCAUGAUAGUGGCAUCGCAAACUCGAGAAAUCCAAGGGGUAAUUGCUUAAUUUUACUUAUGUUUCUUCUUUUUUUUUAUUAGUCCAUAAUUCCUUUCUCUUCUUCUAUUAUUAUCAUUUCUUUUUCACUUUAGCUCAUGUUUUGGUUGAAAUUACAUCCAUUCUAUCGAAAAUGCUCGUAAACAUUAUGAAAUAACAGAGUGUUAUCAUAGGUCCACACCGUGCCGCUGUAAAGGAGAUCGUCACCACAGUUCAAGAUCUUCAAAUCUCCAACUGUAUCCAUUUCUGGUUCUUGGAUGGAAAACCAUGGUAUGACAAAACUUAGCAUCUGAAUAACGAUGUAUGAAUAUCAUCCUAAUGGAUGGAUUACCCCAAAGUAUUGUAUUGUGUGAAUGAUCACAUGUAUUUUACCUUUUCCAUGUAUAGGAAUUUUACGGCUUCCCACACCUUGUAUAGCCCAAGAUCAGAUGUAAGUCUUACCUUGUACUAGUAGGGUCAAAUAUCUCAUAAUACUAGACAUAAUUUGUGUGGUUCUAAGAGUUCAUUAACUAUAUCAUGAUACUAGACUUGACUUGACCUAAGAGGUACUAGUAGGAUGUUAACAGGCCUGGUGUUAGACAUUAGUAGAGGUGUACAUAGGUGUAGGAGAUAGCCCUUAGAAUAUCAUAUGCAUGUACUAUGUGGAUGAUCACAUAUAUGAGAUAAAAAUGAGAAUUGGGCACUGUUAGGGAAAACUUGGAUUAUUUCAAGAUAGGAAAAUCAUGAGUGAUGAGUUAUGAGGACAUGUAUUGUCAUGGAAAACCUAAAUUAAGCAUAUCAAAUAUAGGCAAAUCUUGAUAAAUCGGUCAACGAGAUAGGCUAUUGUAUCUCCUUAUUUAUUCUAGUCUGCCUAAGUCCCAUAACUACGUUGGGUUAUAGUUGAGGUGAAUCAAAUAUGUGAAGUGUAGUAAAUCUUAUCUUGGACUAGUUGUUGUUUAUCUAACCAUGUGUGAGACCAUAGAACUACGCUAGAUGUUCAUUGAUUAGAUAAACAGUAGCUAGUGGCUAUGUUGUGGCAUCAAAGAGUUGUCACUUUUUGGUUUUCAGUUCAAGAUGUUAAGUAUCUCUGAUACCCUUAGGACUUCUUAGCAACUUGAGAAUACUUUUAUGGUCAGUGAGAUGUUUCGAGCUAGUUAGCUGAUACUCUUCUGUAUGGGAUGGGUGUGAGGUACCAUAAUGAACAUUUCAAGUAGACCUUGACCUAGGUAUAAGGGUAACGAGAGACUAAAUGGUUUAGAUUGGGAAGCUCACUAAUAUUAGUAUCUCAUCCUACAUAGUUGUUUAUAUUUUCAAGCAAACAUGUACUUGGAUUGAAUUUGUAGUGAUUGAUCUGGCACUAAAGACUAGAUGAAACGUCCUUCUUCUAUGUUGAAAAUUUUGUCUAGAUGUUGAUACAUUAGUUUAUUUGUUAUAUUAUUCUGAAUUUUAAUCUGGCCCACUUUCAUAUAUUUGCAUUGAUGUAUCAAUAUAUGUAAUCUUAUAUUUGUGAAAGUCACCAAUCAAGGGAGACACAAGGGUUCCCACCCCCAUAAAAUGAUGGCUGGCACUACCUUUAUAAUAUGGGGGCUCGCCUUCCUAAUAAGACACGUGUAAAAUGCCAUUAUCUCUCUAUCAGAUAUGCAUAUUAAGUCAUACCACGACUCUUGAAGAAUAGGUAUCAUCAACUUUCCUCAGUCAAAGGGGAGCAAUUACCACUUUUAAGGGUUUCCCAAGUAUUAGGCUCAAAGACCUCUAUAAAUACCUAUUCCCAUAACGGGAGACCAAGAUCUCAUAACUUACACAAAAUACCUAAAGUAACAUGCUUGUAUAAAUAGCCUCUCACCUCACGUAAUUUUUUCUCUCAUAUCACUGUAAACACUAUAACACCACCUUACAGGGCUUUCCGCUGCUGUGGGCAAGUCCUUACCACCCUAAAAUUUUACAUACCUACUAAGGCUUAUGACUAUCCCCUACCCUUGUAGAGAUACCUCACAUAACUGUAAUUGUUUUCCAGUAUAGUGGCGCCCACCAUGGGCCCCAAUGAAACUAACAUGGGCUACACCUUCUUCUACAAUCAUCAUACUCAGUGUUACCCUCCAUUCAUGUACCUAGCAUUCUCAUCCAUGGUCAACAAGAGAUCCACAUUACCUACGCUAGACGGUACCGGUGGUAGUGAUGGCUCUAAUUCCUUGGCGGAGAUGCAUGCUACCAUGGACAAAUUAGACUGUCAUAACAAAUCCUGAAAGACAGCGUCUUCAACAUCCAACAUCACCAACAAGAGACCAAUCCCAUAUAGGAGAUGAAAGUGAUGAAUCCUUAGACACUCUCAAAUGAAAUAUGGGAAGGACCUGCCUCUGAAGCAUUCAAUCCCCCCUCUUUGGAAAAGUUUGAUGAGCGAACUACCUCAUACGAGCAUGUCACAUCCAUUAACACUCAAACGACCAUCAUUGGAGCGUCUGACUCCUUGAAGUGCAAAUUACUAUCCGACACCUAUGUGGAUGCCGCUCGACGCUGGUAUAUGGGUCUACCCCGAUCUUCCAUCACCAAUUAUCAGGAGUUGGCGAGGAAACUAGUACACCAGUUCGCUGUUAGCCGCCACAGAAAAAUGUCUACCACCAAAUUGUUCAACAUAAGAUAGGGUCCCUUAGAAUCAUUGAGAGACUAUCUCGCACAUUCUAAUGAAGCCACCAUGAAGGUUGUCCCACCAAACCAAGAAAUGUUUAUGGGAGUAUUUCAUAGUGGAGUUAAGGCGGGAUAAUUUAAUAAGUCUCUCACCUAGAAGACAACAUUAUCGCUAGUAGAUGUGAUCACUAGGGCAUAAUGUUACAUAAAAGGAUAUGAGAGUAACAUUUAGAAGAAUGCACGAGACAUCAAAUAACGUGUCCCUAAUGCCAAAGGUCCACACCACGAAAGGAAGAGUAAUUAUACAUCUCCCGUCAUGGACAAUAUUAUGUUCAACAGAAUAUGCAAUACGAUGGAGGGCUUCACGCCUCUGAACAGUCACUACGAACAGAUCAGACACGAGGUUCUUCACCUGCACAACAUCCAUGUGCCUUCAACUCCGAAAACUGAUAUAAUGGGUCCCGAACAUGGUAGAUGGUGCAAUUUACAAAGAGUUAAAGGACACCACAUUGAGGAUUGUUACCAACUCAAGAAAGAGAUAGAGAGGUUGAUCUAGAAGGGACAUCUCAAGAAGUAUGCGAAACAAGAUAUGUGAUUCUCAUCGAUUUCAAACUUCAAUUCAACGUAAAUUUCAGAAAGGAAAUCAAUCACACACCUCACUACACUCGUAUUUCCAUGAAAAUUUAAUCGGAGCUUUGGAUACCAAUUGUUGGAAUUCAACAAUGAACAUCCGUUAACAAUGAAUAAGAAGAUAAAAAAGAUGAAGAAUAAUUGCAGAGGAGAGAGAAUGAAAUGUAACUACCUUUCAAAGCUUUCUCAAAAUGCAAGAUUGUGUUACAAAUCCAAAUAACAUUUGGUUUUAUACAUUAACCAAAUGAAACUAAAAUCAAAUGCAAACUUAAUAUAAACUUAAAUGCAAAUGAAAUUCAAAACUAAACUAACUUGAAUGUUGAAUUACAUUCAACAGUUUUGCAUUUAGGUAUGUUUUAUGCUUAUGUUUAGUUUUAAUUUUCUUACUUGUUAAAAAAUUUAUAGAUGAGAAUUUAGAAAUUAAUUUAAUUUUUUAAGUAUUUUUAAAUUAUUAUUAUUUAUUCCUUCAAUAUCAAAAUAGGUGUUCUCUUUAUGAUUUUUAUAUUUUUUAAUAUAAUAAUUAAUUAUGUUGAUUUUAAUGAUAAAACAAAUUAUUAUUUAUUAAAAUAAUUUUAUCAAUAAUAUAUAGUAGAAUAAUUAUAUGAUUUAAAAUAUACUCCCUCCGUUCCUUUUUAAGUGUCUCUUUUUUGAAAAAAAAUUGUUCUUUUUUAAGUGUCACUUACAAAAUUCAAGAUAGUAUUAAUUGCAUUUUGUCAAAAUUACCCCUAGCUAAUUAUUACAGAGAAAUAAAAAGUAAAAUGAAUGUAAUAAAUAGUUAAGGGUAUUAUAGGUAAAAUGAGAAUUGUUGUUGAAAAAGUAACAAUAAUCAUUAACUUUCUUGGUAUGUGUAAAAAAUAAAAAAGUGUCACUUAAAAAGGAACAGAGGGAGUAAUAAAUUAAAAUAAGUUAAUAGAAAAAAUAAUAAAUAGCAUAUCAAUAUUAUAAAUGUUAAUUUUUUAAAGAGACAAAUAAUAAGAGAAAAAUAAAAAUAAAAAAGACGAAAUCGUAAGUCAAGAGGAAGUAUACUUAAAAUGUCAACUCGGAUCCCAUAUUUUUUUAGUCACAAACGACUUUGAGUCUUCCCUAUAUUUUUCAAACUUUGAAUAAACAUGUCAUUAAAUUUGCGUCUUUAAAUUUUAAACUAAACAAAGAGAGAGAAUAACCCACCACCUUCUUGGAACCCAAAACUGACCCGUAAAUUGUAAUUAUCUCUAAUUUUACCGUUCAUUCUCUCUCUCUCUAGAAUCACUGUUAACAAAAAACCCAAAACUGACCCGUAAAUUGUAAUUAUCUCUAAUUUUACCGUUCAUUCUCUCUCUCUCUAGAAUCACUGUUAACAAAAAAAAAAAAAAAAAAGUAAAAAUACACUUUUCGUGUUACAAUUGAUUAUGAUAAUAAAGUUUUAAUUAAGUUUUGAACCCUUUCAACUUCUUGUUCCUUAACCUUUCUUACGGCCGUCACCAGCAAAUUCGUAGAAAAUUAGUACUCCACACUAUUAUUUCGUAAUCAUGAAAUUUGAAUAUUAAAAAUAGUUUGAUUUUUUAUUUUAAAAAUUUAUAAAAUAAUAUAAAUGGGUGAUGAUAAUGAAUGGACAGUGUAAAUUCUUUUACAUUGACAGUACAUAAUAAUUAAUCUCUAUUAAAAUUCUUUUAGAAUUAUGCUUUUGUAAAUAUAGCAUUUCAUCAAAAUUAUUUUAAAUUUUUUAAUAAAUAUAACAUUUCAUCGAAAUUUACAAAUGAAUGGACUAGGAUUUUUUUAUAGUAAGUUAUUCGUUCUUGCAUUAAAAAAUAAAUGAUUAUUCGAUAAAAAUUAAAUAAUUCAAAAUUAAAAUUAAUAAUUUAAAAAAGUCAAAUUUAUUUUUUACCAUGCGAUCAAAAUUAGAGUUGAUAUAGUUUCACAGCAAAAAUACAAUAAUGAUUAGACCAUAAAUGAUUCAAUUUUAAAAUAAAUAACAUGAAAAUGAUAAUAAAAUUUAAAUAUGAUUCGAUAUUAUUAAUAUUUUAUUUAUAAUAAGUUGUAAUGUCAUGUCAUAUCAUCAUCAUUAACACAAUUUAUGCAGCAAAACAUAAACUAGUUAAUAUCAUCAUUAACACAAUAUUUUAUUGAGUAAAAUGACUUUGUGCAGCAAACAUAAACUAGUUAAUAAAAAUGAAAUGAAAUAAAAAACCUAUUUUAUUAAUAUUUAAACUAAUUAAUAAAGAUAAAAAUAACACAAAUAACCUAUUUAAUUAACAUUUUUUAAUUAUAAUAAAAGAUGUAAAAUUGAUAAGUUCUCAACUUUAAACUACUUAAAAUAACAUAUAAAAAAUACUAUAAUUUAAUUUUUAAAAACUACAAAUUCAAAAUAGAAUAAUUAUUACUAUCAAAAGUAUUUUUUAUCGAGUAAUCUAAUAAUUAAAUUGAGUUAGAUUAUUUAAAAAUAUUUUUUAAUCAUAUGAACUUAUAAGUUACUCCUAGAGUACUUUGUCUUACUAAAAAUACACUUACACAUUUUAUUAUUACUAGUUUCUUUUGGGUGCUUUUCAAUUGGUAUUCUACUUGAACCUUUUAGAAUGUUAUUGUAAUUGGUUUCUCUACUUAAAUGUCUCUUUUUCCUAAAUAACCUUUUUUUUCUUCUCAGACAUUCUUUGCCUUACCCUUUUCCGGUUCUCUCUAAAACCGGAAUAAGAAAAGGUUUGUUUUUCCUUACCCUUUUCACUUCUUAGCUAUUAUAGCUAGCUAGAUUAUCUAUUAUCAAUUCUUUUCAAACAAACUCUAACUUCUUUUCAUAAGCUCUUUUCAUCUUCCCCUCACUGUUUGAUUAACUCACCACUCUAUUGCAGAGUUGAUCAUCACAGAAAUGGAAGAUAAUAAUGACCAUGAUUUCUUUUCACACAAAUUCCCAACAACCACCCAGGUAAAUUUUGUUUUGUUUUUCAUAUUAAAAAACCAAAACCUUAAACUAUGUCUAUGUUUGAAAAAUAUUUGUUAAGUGUUUUAUUUUUUCUGUACUAAAUUUGUUUGAUGAAAACUAAAUUACUAAGGUGGUGGAAGAGUUGAAGGAGCUAUGGAGCAUGGCGUUACCGAUAACAGCUAUGAACAUGCUGGUUUUCGUGAGAGCUGUUGUUUCUGUUCUUUUCCUUGGUAGACUCGGUAGUUUAGAGCUAGCUGGUGGUGCACUCUCCAUAGGCUUCACAAACAUAACAGGGUACUCUGUUCUUGUCGGUCUUGCAUCUGGUCUUGAACCUGUUUGUAGCCAAGCUUUUGGCAGCAAAAACUGGGACCUUCUUUCCCUUUCACUACAACGAAUGGUGUUCAUACUUUUAAUGGCCAUAAUACCGAUUAGUCUUCUUUGGGUUAACCUUGAAAGAAUCAUGCUGUUCAUGGGUCAAGACAUUGGGAUAACUGAAAUGGCGGCGGUGUAUUGUUUCUAUUCUCUGCCGGAUCUUUUGACAAACACGUUGUUACAGCCUCUAAGGGUUUUUUUACGGUCGCAGAAAGUGACAAAACCGAUGAUGUAUUGUUCGUUGGUGGCGGUUGUAUUUCAUGUUCCUUUGAAUUAUUUGUUGGUGGUGGUGAUGGGGCUGGGUGUGCCGGGUGUGGCUAUGGCGUCGGUGUUCACGAAUAUGAAUAUGGUGGUUUUGAUGGCGGUAUAUGUGGGGAUGUUUAGGAAGAAGGAGAUGAAGUUGAGAUGGAGUUGUGGUGGUGGUGGCGGUGGCGGUGGCGGCGUUGUUGGUGGUGGUUUGGGUGAGUUGAUGAAAUUGGCAGUUCCGAGUUGUUUGAUGAUAUGUUUGGAAUGGUGGUGGUACGAGAUUGUAACUGUUAUGGCUGGUUAUUUGGAGAAUCCAACGUUGGCGGUUGCUGCUACUGGGAUUUUGAUUCAGACAACAAGUAUGAUGUAUACUGUUCCUAUGGCUCUUGCUGGUUGUGUCUCUGCUAGGGUAUGUUUCUCUUCUCUUUACUUCCAUUUUCUAAUUUAUUUUUCGAUUCAAUUAGUAUUCAUAGUAAUGCAGAAAUAUUCAAUUAUAUGAUUUACCUUGUUAGAUCAAUUUAGUUGAUAGUAGUGCGGCGGAGACAUUUAAUAUUUGUUGGAAGAAUGAAUCCUAACUUUGUGAUAACUCUUAAAUUACUAUAUCAAAUAAUCUAUAGUCCAUUUAAAAUUGGAUGAAAUGAUAAUUUUAAUAUCAUAUCAUAUUAUUAAAAUAUAAAUAUUAUUCAGAUGAAAAAAAUAUUAAAUUUUAACUUUUUAAAAAUAAAUAAGUAGAGUAACACAUAAGACAUAUGUUUGUGUCUUCUAUUAACUAAUUUGAUAUUGGUCCAUCAAAUUAUUAUAACCAAAAUAAUACUAAAAAUUAUUUUUAUUAUUGUUUGGAUAUAUUCAGGUACCACUAUAUCUAGUAACUAAAAUGAUUAUUUUAACAUUUUAAAGGUCUCCAUAUUGAAAUCUUUGUUUGGAGGGAAUAUAUAAUGUGUAUUCAACCUUAUUUUAUUUUAAGGUUUUACUUUAGAAGCCAAAAGGAUUUGAUAGCAAUAACGAAUAUUUUUGUAUAUUUUCCACUUGGAAUAAUAUUGAGUGGGGUGACAUGAAGAAUUAUAUAGAAAAUAGUGAGAGUAAUGGAGUGACUUUGAUUUUUAUACUCUAUAUGUGACUAGAUCUUUUUACUUGCACUCCGAAAGUAUAUAUUUUUCUUAAUUGAAGGAAUAUAUAGAUAAUAAAUAAAGUUUGAAUUUUUUUUUUAAAUAAAGUCAAAAUAUCUCCACAUAAGACUAAAUCACAUUUGCACACUGACUUGAUUCCUAACAUGCUUGAAGAGGCAAAAUAAUGACUUUUUCCUUGAUAUGCUUGUAGAUUCUACAAAAGUUGUUAUAUUUUCAAAAAUAGAUUUGGUUUGAAUUUAUUUAUUAAUUUAAUCAUAUUUUUAUUCUAUGCAAUUUUUGUUUUUUAUUCUUUUAUUCCCUGUAGCUAGUCAACUAAAAAUGGAAUUAAAUGUCAACCUCAAACCCUGAUUUUCUUGAUAUUGUUUUUGUCUUACGAAUCACUGUCCUUUAGUUGUUUCCAACUACUAGAAAAUCUAAAUUUUAAAUUGUUUUCUUCUAUAAAUAAAUAAUUUGAAACAAAAAUUAAAGAAUUAAUAGUUUGUAUAAAAAAAUUAAAAGAUUAGUGCUAAAACAAAAGUAAUUAUUUCCAAAUUUUUUCUCUAUCUUAUCAUACCAAAUACACGUGUGAAGAUUUUAUGUUGUUAUUUUUUUUAAGUUAUCGUCUUCAAUCAUUCAACUUUUUCCUUUGCUUUUUCUUAUAUUCCUUUUGAGCUAAUCAUAAUAUUUGGUUUCUGCUUAAUGAGGUAUAAAUUAAAUUUGUUAUAUGAUUGCGUAAAGUACAAGGACCCAUUUGAGUUAAGUCACACUUGUAAUGUGAUUCCACAAAACUAGAAGUAAUUAAUCACUUAUAAGUGGAAUUCUGUUUGGCUUGCACAGGAACUCCAUCAUCAUGCAUUUCUAUUUUACCAAAUAUUCUAACUAUCAAAUCUAAAAAAGCAUCCCAUUUUCUUUGUGGGACUCAUUCAAUGAUAUUUUAUCAUGUAUUACACUUUAGAUUUUAGUUUAGUAUAUUUUAAAUUACAUCUUAAUUUUAUUAGUUUUUAAUGUAGUGUUUGUAAAAUUGUGAUGUGAUGUUAAUCAUGUUUGCUAUAUUAUUUUUAAUUAAAAUAAUCAUACUAUUUUUUAUUCGUUUUUAACAUAUUUUCAAACAAUAAUCUUUUAUGAUUAUUUUUUUGAGUUAUAAUUUGUCAUAUCACUGUUUUGAAUAGCUUUUUUUUUUUUAAAAAUCGAUACAAUAAAAUAGAGAAUUUUUUUUAUAUAAAUUUUUUAUAAAUGAUUGAAUAUAAACAACAAUUUUUUUUAGAAUCAAUAACAUAUUCUCUUUAAUUUAUAAUUAGAGUAAUUAAUAAAAUUUUCUAUUUAAUAAAUGCAGGUAGGGAAUGAGCUUGGAGCAGGUAAACCAUAUAAAGCAAAGCUAGCAGCCAUGGUUGCAUUAGGAUGUGCAUUUGUGAUGGGCUUCAUCAAUGUAACAUGGACCGUCGUCCUUCGAUACGGUUGGGCCAGACUUUUCACAACCGAUGAACCCGUCAAAGCCUUGGUUGCAUCCGUCAUGCCAAUAAUGGGCCUAUGCGAGCUCGCAAACUGCCCACAAACCACCGGUUGUGGCAUCCUCCGAGGCACUGCCCGACCCGUCAUAGGCGUGAACAUCAACCUAGGAGCAUUCUACUUUGUCGGUACCCCGGUGGCGGUAGGGUUGGCAUUUUGGUUCAGGAUUGGGUUUAGUGGGCUUUGGUUUGGGCUUUUAUCAGCCCAAGUGGCAUGUGCUUUAUCAAUUCUAUAUGUUGUGAUUGUACGUACGGAUUGGGAAGCUGAGGCAUUGAAGGCAGAGAAACUAACAAAGGUUGAGAUGGUAACUUAUAAUGGAAGUAAGAAUAAAGACGUAGUAACAAAAGAGGAAGAAUGCAAGGGUUUGUUGGAAAAUGUAAAUGGGAACAAAAUUGACAUUUGCUAAAAAGACAUCACAACCUAGAAUAGAAUGAUAUCUAUUAUGAGAUUUGGAUUUUGUUUGUUGGUGAUAAAGAUCAUAUACUGUCACCUAGUAUAUUGGAUAGUGAGGUUUAUGAGUGGUGCGUGCAUCUAUGUUAUGGGUUGGUUACUUUUGAAGAGUAUAUGUUGUUUUCUUUAAUCUAUCGUAUUUUCUUUUCAUUUUUUGAAAAGUUCUCAUGAGGAACAAUGUCUCACUUUAUGUACUAACAUGGUUUCAAUUAUCGCAUGAAUUUUUUUGGACGAGAUUUGGACACUUCAUAUAAUACUUACCCUAUUCAUUCUGAAGUGUCGUUCACGGUUUUUAAGGAAAUAAUUAGACGUGUUGGUUUUGAUCAUAAAACUAUUAACAUUUUUUAGAAUAUUUCUAUUAAUUUUAAUUAAAAAAGUGGUUGGAUAAAGUGAAAGUUAAUAAAAGGAAUAUGAUAUGAAAAAAUAAUAAUAAAUAUUAUAUUGAUAUGGUAAAAGAGGUGAAAAUAAGACAUUUUUUACGAGAAGGAGGGAGUGAUCAUUAUUAUUGCUUUUCAGAUAAUUCUUUUAUCUAUAAUACUCUUAAUUAUUUAUUAGAUUUAUUUUACUCUUUUUUUUUGUAAUAAUUAUUUAGGAUAAUUUUGACAAAAAUAUAAUUAAUACUAUUUUGAACUUUGGAAGUGAUAAUUAAAAAAAAAUAUUUUUCUUCAAGAAAAUGAUACUUAAAAAGAAACGGAAAGAAUAGAUAUUCAAUAUUUUUAUUUAAUUUUAAUUUUUUUCAAUUUAGUCUAGUAAUAGAUAUUGAAAGUUGGGAUACACCCCCUCCCCUCCCAUCCCAUGACUGUAACUAUUAUAAAUAUUUUUUUUAAUAUAUUUGAUAAUUAAUAUAUAUAAUUUAUAUAUGAAUUAGAUAGAUUAACUAUCCAAUGAAUUAAAAAAGUCAAAUUUACUUAUAAUAAUAAUUAGAGGAUAUAUGAUUAAGAUAUUUAAAAAUUUUAAAUUUUAUUAAUAACUUUUUUUAGAAACAAAUUUGUUUUGUUGACGUGAAAAUUGUAUCUAAAUGAAAGAUUUUUUCAUUUGUCAAUAACGAAUUUUAUUUUAAAAAAUUGACUUUUAAAAAAAAACAAAGUUAAAAGAAAGAAAAUGAGAGUAAGGAUUAAUCUCUCCUGUUUGAAAAAUUGUUCAUUGAAUUUUUAUAAAAACAAAUUGGGUGAUUCAUACCGGUUCUCAUCGAUUUGAUUGCAUGGCGGAUUUAAUAGUCGGUUUGGAUCGGUUACUCUUUCCUUACUUCGACUGAAUCAACAAUCGGUUGAUUAGAGGUUAAUUAAAUAAAAAAUUUGAAUGAGUUAUUCAUAAGUUCUCGGAUCGAUCGAUUCAACGGAUGCGAGCCGAUAUUUAAAACUCUAUAUUUCUAAUUAUUGAAUAUCUAUUCUUUGUAAUUUAUCUUUUAAUUUUAAUCAUUUUAUUUCUAUUUAUAUAAAUAAAAAAUUGAUUAUAUAUAUAUUUUUUAUUUCAUUUUUUUCAAAUUAUUAAUUUAUAAAUUUUAAUAAAUAUUUUUAUAUUAAUACAUUAAUACAAAUAAAUAGUCUCUUAAAUCAAUAAUCUAUAUUUAUUUAAUUCAAUUAUCAUAUGUGUUACUUAUCAUGUUUUGUCAUAUUUCCAUUAACUAGUAUCAAAUAUAAACCAUGAUUUAGUUUAUCAAUAUAAAGUCAUACUAGUAAUAUUUUGGGAAGAUGAGAAAUAUUUGUGGCGUGAAAAAGUAGCUUAUAUUAUGUGUUGUGUGACAAUUGCAUGAAGAUAUAGGUGAAAUGUGAAAAUCUGCGUUCUGACAUUUGAUAAUUUUGAGAUAUACGGCUGAGACGUAGAGAUCAAACAGAAGACAGCUUUUAUGCUAAAGCUGUUCUACAAAAGCAGGACUUAAUUAUAAUGCCAGCGGCGUAACAAUUCGUAGAUCAGAGUAGGGAGGGUGGCUCAUGCAGCCUUACAUAUUGUUCACUCCUUUUUAAGAUACUAGUAUCUGAUAUGAUUGCUGUUGUUUCACUAUUUUUAUAUAUAGAUACAAUAUAAAAAUAAUAAUUUAAUAAAAAUAAAGUUAUAUCUAUAUUAUAUACAUAAACCUUGUUAGACUAAUUUAUAUAUUUUAAAAAAUAUUGAUUUAUAAAAUUAAUAAUUUAUUUAUAUUGUAAUAUUUUUUAUAUUUUAAAAUGUCUUGUCAUUUAAAUUUUUUAGAUAGAUUAAAAAUUGAAUAAUAUUAUCCUAAGACAUUAUAAUUUUAUUAAAAUAUUAAAAAUAAUAUAAAGAAUAAUAAUUAAAGAUGCAAUUGAAAAAAUUAUACACGCCUUAUCAUUAUUAUAAACCAGAAUUUUUUUUUAGAUUUAUUAAAUAAUUAAUAUAUCUGAUAUAUAAUAAUGAUCAGAUACAUUAUUUAUUCAAUGAAUUAAUUUUUUUUUACUUUCUUAUAAUAGUGAUCAAUGAUAUAAUCAUUACUAUAUUCAAAAGUGAGAUUAAUAAUUAUUUUAAAAUAAAUUUUAUUUACUAAAAUAAUUAUUACAGAAAAUAAUUUAAAAUACAUUAUUUUAUAGGUUAACUUUACCGUUUACUUUGAUCUCUUAAUUUAAAAUAAGAAAUUAUAUUGAUUUCUUAAAUUUAAAAUAUACAAAUUAAUUAUUUUUGUCCAAGUAACAAUGACUUUUUUUAUAUUAAUCAUAAAAUUUAUUAUUAAUUAAAUAAAAAAGAUAAACAUAAAAUAUUUUAAAAAUUUAAGAGAUCACAUUUUUUUUAGUUAGAAGACUAAAAAUAACCUACAAGAUUAACGUAGAGAUCUACAAAAUAUUAAAGCUUUUUAAAAUAAAUAUUCUGUUUAAAAAGAGAUUAAUUACUAUAUACUGUCAGUUUAAAAAGUUUUACAUAAUCGAUUCAUCACCAUCACCCGAGGGGUCUAGGUUAGUUAAGGGUAUAUUAUAUGUUGUAAUAAUUUUCACAUAGUGUUAUUCUCUGGUUGUCUAUUAACAAUAGUCCUGGGUUUUUCUCCGAUUUUGGAGUUUCCACGUUACGUUCUUGUGUUGUGAUUAUGUUUCUUUUUUCUCUAUGCUUUGUUUUUUCCCCAACAACUGGUAUUAGAGCCCGGUUCGAUCCGGAGAUACGUGUUCUUAGUAUGCUUUAUGGUUGCAGUUUUGUCUGAUCUUCCACAUAAGAAAAGAAUCAUACCAUAGUCAAAACAUCCAAGGAACAUAUAACACCAACAUUUCCUCAUACCAUAGCCAAAACACUCAAACAUCAUACCAUAGCCAAAACACCCAAACACCGCACCAUAGCCAAAACACCUAAACAUCACAACAACCAUAUGACUAUCAAACACCACAAUAACCAUUUCAACAUUUCUCUAACGAACCAUUCACACCAAUGCUCCCUCCAAUCGUCCAGGUCGCACACCAAUGACCUCAUGAACACAUCCAGACUACUCUGACAUAGGUCGCAAACUAAGUUACGAUAGUGUGUCGCUUCAUACACAAGACUUCUUAGAAAUUCAAGAACUUCUUAGGGAUUCUGGUGAUGUUCAUAAGACCUAAAAUCCUCAAACACAUAGAGUGAAUCAACAAUGAGUGCAACAAGUUACGAUAGCUAGGGGGUAUGGAACCGAUGACCGGUAUAACCAACCUGAUCGUCAUCGUUAGUUUCUGUAAAAGUAUUUUUAAUUAAAUAUUAAUUUUUAUUAUUUAUACUAAAAUAAUUCACAAUGUACACGGGUGUUAGGCCAAUUGACACCUCCAUUUAAAAUAUGUACAUUGACGCCAAUUGAAUUGUCAACACCAUGUAAUUCCAAUUGGCACAUCCAUUAUAAAAUAUGGAGUUGCCGCCAAUUCGUCUGCCAACAACACUUCGUCCCAAAAAUUCUUUGUUUGAAAGUGGGGUACUUUAAGAGUUUGUUUGAAACAUGUGUUACUUUGUGAAUUAAUUUUAAAAAUGGGUUAUUUGGGUAAAAAAUGGACUCUUCCGACCCAUAAUUGAGUGAUCAAUUUGCAAGAAAAAAAGUUUCAAAAUGAAUGAUUCAUUUCAAUAUGUAAUACAAAUUAUUAUUUUUUUCAAUUAUACUAUUUAAUUAUUAUUAUUUUCAUAAGUUUCAAUAGUUAAUAAUAGACACUUUAGUAAAACUAUUGUUUUCUCUCUUUUAUUUAUUUAAUUUUUUUAAUAUGUGUGAACUAAUUCGUUGAGUCAUUUAUCGUGAGACAGAGAGAAUUACAAAUAGUAUAAUAAAUUAAUGAUAAUUAUAAAAUUUUAAAUUAUAUUUUAAAUCAUAGUAUUUGAAUACAUCAAUUUGAUGAGACGUGUCAGAAGAAACAAUGCUAAAAGAAAAUACAACUCUUUUUAUCUGUUUUUCUAAUUGUUAUUAUUAAAGUUUAAUGUUAUUUUUUAGUUAUUUAUUGUGGUAACUUUUAUUUUAUUUUUACUACAUUAUUCUGUUUUAUAUGUUUUUAGGGAUUAAUUACUAUACAUUGUCCGUGUAAAAGGUUUUACACUGUCGAUUCAUCACCAUCACCCGUUUGUAUUACUCUAUAGGUUUUUAAAAUAAAAGUUAAGAUUAUUUUAAUAUCCAAUGUCUAUGAUUAACUGUAAAAUCCUUUUAAAUUGUCAGUGUAUAUCAAUUAAAUUAUUUUUUUAAAUUCAAAUUGAAGUUAUAUUUGAAAUAUUGAACUUUGUCAAUAUAAUUUUAAUUUAAUAAAAUACUAUAUCAAAUAUUAACUUGAGUGUAUAUUUCAAAUAUUACACCAUUAUAAACUUCAUUAUGUAUAAAUACCUUAUAUUAAUAUUACUUUAUAUUCUAAACACUAUAUUAAUAUUUAUAUGAUGAUAAUUAUAUUUUAAAUAUUUUUUUCUCAUGACUUUAUUCUACUGGAAGGGUCUCUUACUAGUAUAAUUGCAAUAAUAAACGAGUGCAUAACAAUUAAAUUGAUUUGAUACAAAUCUGUAAUUUAUUAAUGUAAAUUGGUUUAGACAUGGACGAAGAAUGUAAGUUAAAAUUUUCAUUUUACGAAACAAACCCUGAAGUUUAGGAGUCCACCCGAGUGAAAACUCUUGUCCCUUGAAAGAGAGUAAAAAUACAGAGAGAGAUGAAAAAUUGAGAAUAAUCCUAGGAAGAAAGACGAGAUAGAUUAACAAUUUCGUUUCGAGAAAAAAAUGGAAGAAGCAAAGGCAAUGCAGCAGCAGCAGUUGAUCCAAGAACAACAUCGACAACAACAACAACAACAACAUUUUCUGCUCUUACAGCAAUUGCAAAAGCAACAGCAAUCAUCCGCAAUUUCUCGCUUCCCUUCCAACAUUGACGCUCACUUGCGUCCCAUAAGACCCCUCAAUCUUCAACAAAACCCUAACCCUAACCCUAAUCCCAUUCUCAAUUUACACCACAACCCUAAUUCAAACCAUCUACCUCAGCAACAGCACCAAAAGAUUAUUCGACCCCCCGGGAAUCAAAUCGAGCUCCAGAUGGCUUACCAAGACGCCUGGCGGGUCUGCCAUCCGGAUUUCAAGCGACCCUUUUCUUCUCUAGAAGAUGCCUGCGACAGGUUCUUUCUCUCAUCUCUAUUCAGUGCCGUGAUUCGUGGAAAAUGCUAAACAACUUAGCAUGACCCAUCUUUCGCUAUAACUACCUUUUCAAAUUCCAACUAUAUUUUCUACUUUUUUUCAUACUUCCAUUUUCUAUAAAAUUUAUGCAAUGUGGUUAUGGCUCUUUUCUUCAAGUUAAAUGACAAGUCAAACUGUCAAUUGUAUUUCAUUAGUAUUAGUAUUAGGAGUAUAGACUAGUAUCAGGGCUACCUAUAGCAGCUGGUUGUCAGGUGUUUCACACCGGUCAUUGGGUCACUACAGCUUGUUCAAACUCAUCCUUUGCGUCGUCAAAUUCAUGCUUCUGAAUAGAUUUCCCUGUUGCGUUGCCCAACAAGUAAAAAUGUUUAUUCAGAAUUGUCAAGAGUCCCAUAUUGGAUGAGAUAAGGCCCAAAAGCAUUUUUAUAUAAGUCUGAGCUAUUCCUCAUCUUACAAGUUUUCGUUAGGUUGAAUUCUAAGAUUUUACUUUUCUCCAAACUGAUUUAUAUUUGGAAACUUUUACUUAAUGAUAUUGAAUUUUGUGCUAGCAAAAUGUAAGUAUGGGAUGUUAUUGCUAGUUUUUCUUACUGUAUGUUUGGUUCUGCGGUGAGUGGUUCUGCGGUGAGGAGAAUUGAUUCUAAGUGAAUUAAUUUUGUAGAAUUGAUUUUGAUUAAAAGUGAAUUGGAUGUAAAGUGAUUUAUGUUUGGAUACAUUUCUAUAAAACUGAGUUGAACAAUAAAUUUCAAUGUAAAAAUCACGUUUAAAGUCAAAAGCUACAAAUUGUAGUUUCAAGGAGAAUCAAUCAUGGAGGCCGAACAAUUCUACUUUAGAAAAACCAAACACCUCAGAAUCAUUAAAGAAUCAAUUUUGCACCUCUAGAAUUGCUUUUGCCUAUUCCAAAAGCCAAACCAAACAUACACUCAACCUUAUUGGGAUAAAAACUAUGUUGUCAAUCUCGGAUAGUGAAGCGGAGCAGAUGAUCUCAAAACUGGGAUAGCAGGGAGAUGGGUGGCCAUUAUUUAAUAAAUUUUGGAAUUAUUAUAAAUUAACACUAAUAAACACAUAACUUCUGAAAAAUGAAACACUUUACUCAAAUCAUGAAAUAGUAAGAAUUAAAAAUAAAAGUCACAGCUCUUAAUCAAAAGAUACUUGUAAAUAACAACCUAUGAAGCUCCGACACGCCAUUCACACGACGUGUCGCCGUGUCCGACACGUGUACGACACGUAUCAGACACGUUUUUGAAGUGUCCAACGAGAAAAAAAUAUUUAAUUGUUGUGGACACGGAUACGGCACCUUAUUUAAAAUAAAGGACAUGACCCAAUUCAGAAAAUUCCAGAAUUAAAAAAAAAAAAACUCAACUCAAUUUUUCAAAAUUUAAAAAAUAAAUAAGUUUUUUAGCUUUCAUAUUCCACUUUUUUACUAUAAAAACAACACAAUUAGAAUUUCUUAUUUUUUUAUAUUUCACUUUCACUGCUUUUGUCUCCACAAAAUUCUUUUAUCUUCUCCGGUUAUUUUCAUCUUUGCACACCAUUGCUUCGGUUUUCACAAGGAAUAUAUGAAUAUCAAUUAUCAUGUUUGAAAGUAUUGAAAGAAUUUUUUAUUGUUUUAUCUUAAAUAAAUAUAAAUUUUGCUUCUCAUUUUAAAUUCUUUACAAAUUUUGCCCAUAAAUUAUAUUAUUAUAUUAAUAUAUAAAAUAUAUAUAGCCGUGUCCGUGUCCUAUAAUUUGUACAUUAGUGGGGUCCCCGUGUCCGUGUCCGUGUCGUGUCCCGUGUCCGUUCCGGGCUUCAUAUUAACAACAAAGUUCAAGGAAACAUGCAGGUGAAGCCAAGCUUAAAUUAACUAAACAUCAAAACUCAAAUAAAAGUUCUCAUCAACAAAGCCAAUUAUCAGCAUCAUGACAUAACUUAGAUUUUUAAUCAAUAGUGUCUAAUGAAAGGACUUAUUUUAAAACUAAGAAACCAACGAAGAUUUGAUUCCCUAAUUACGACGAACUACAUACCGAUAUCCGCGUUAUUCAAUAUUUAAUCUAGAUCUCAUUUUAGUUUUACUUUUCCCCCUAAUCAUCAAAGUAUCAUCCGCCUUAGCUUUACGAAGUGACCUUAGAAAACGGUAUAUCGAUUCAUAAGUCCAUGUGGGAUCGAUAUCUUUUAUUACUACGCGAUUAGACUGUGCACUUGCCGUUAAUACCCCAAUAGACUCAUAAAGUCGCGAUUCAGUCCACCCGAGUGAAAACUCUUGUCCCUUGAAAGAGAGUAAAAAUACAGAGAGAGAUGAAAAAUUGAGAAUAAUCCUAGGAAGAAAGACGAGAUAGAUUAACAAUUUCGUUUCGAGAAAAAAAUGGAAGAAGCAAAGGCAAUGCAGCAGUAGCAGCAGUUGAUCCAAGAACAACAUCGACAACAACAACAACAACAUUUUCUGCUCUUACAGCAAUUGCAAAAGCAACAUCAAUCAUCCGCAAUUUCUCGCUUCUCUUCCAACAUUGACGCUCACUUGCGUCCCAUAAGACCCCUCAAUCUUCAACAAAACCCUAACCCUAACCCUAACCCUAAUCCCAUUCUCAAUUUACACCACAACCCUAAUUCAAACCAUCUACCUCAGCAACAGCACCAAAAGAUUAUUCGACCCCCCGGGAAUCAAAUCGAGCUCCAGAUGGCUUAACCAUCUACCUCAGCAACAGCACCAAAAGAUUAUUCGACCCCCCGGGAAUCAAAUCGAGCUCCAGAUGGCUUACCAAGACGCCUGGCGGGUCUGCCAUCCGGAUUUCAAGCGACCCUUUUCUUCUCUCGAAGAUGCCUGCGACAUGUUCUUUCUCUCAUCUCUAUUCAGUGUCGUGAUUCGUGGAAAAUGCUAAACAACUUAGCAUGACCCAUCUUUCGCUAUAACUACCUUUUCAAAUUCCAACUAUAUUUUCUACUUUUUUCAUACUUCCAUUUUCUAUAAAAUUUAUGCAAUGUGGUUAUGG
rnacentral:lncRNA from 1 species